rnacentral:lncRNA from 1 species
CUGCACUGACAGCCCCCUCUCCCUCUCUUAGUCUUUCUGUUUCCUCUCCCUCCCUCACUCUCCCUCUUUCUCUUCCCCUCUCUUUCUCUCCUUGUCUUUUUGUCUCUUUAUGUCUGUUGCAUUAUGCCUGAAUAAUUUUCAGUCUUUUUUUUUCUCUCCUCUUGCACGCACAUGCUAAAAUAACUAGACAAAGAUGCAAGGUGGUUGCUGCAGUCCCUGUCUCUAGGACAAAACCAAGAAAGCUUGUGAUUGCAAUGCCACCUUUCCUUUUUUUUUUCUCUUCUUUUUUUCUUCCCCAGCCAUGCUUGGUGAUUAAACUUCCUCAGGAUGGGGAAGAAAAAGGAGCUGGAAAUGAAAUAGGGUUGAGGAAAAAUCCUAUUGCAGCAGCUGCAUCCAGUGGUGUCUGCUGCCAGAUGUGCGAAGGUUCCUGGGGUCCUUGUCACUAAAAGGCAGUAUUCAAAUAUUUGGAGACAAAAGCUGCAUCCUCAGUGAUCAUUUUCUUUAUUUAACAUGGCAGCAGGCAUCGUGUGGGGAAAAAUCAACAUGCUGGAUGUUGAAUCGGACUUUUCUCCUUUCUGGGAUGAAAGGAUGUUAUCUAUCCCGUGCCAAGAGGGAACUGAGGGUGAUUUGAGUGGAAGUGCCAUCCUUUGGCACUUGCUAAUUUCCUCAUGGAAUAGGGUUGGCAUUCCUUACCUCCCAAGAAGACAAUGUUGCUCUUUGAAGAAGCAAACUUACAUCCUUCCAAGAACAAAGCUUGAACUAUCCCUGCAGCCCAGCAGGUGGAAUUAAGGCACGUGGUCCCAUUGUGUUUUCCAGUUUCAGUGGAAUGGUGAGAUUGGGAACUAAGGAUUUGUUUCCAGGCUGUAAAGAGCAGCUAGUCUGAAGAUUAUGGAGUCUUCAGGUUGGUUCUGUACAGCCUGGUUGAGUUUAACUUACCAUUUGUUCUUCCUCCUCCUUUCCUC